rnacentral:misc_RNA from 1 species
GUUUGUAAUAAGCCUCCACACCUGCAAAUGCAAACAAAGUUACAAAAUAGUUGCAUGGACUUGUUUGAGCAGGAAAAUAAGUAUUCAACAACAAUAUGAGAUGUCAAUAUUGAAAUAAGCAACAAAAAGCUUUGAAAGCAAAUUAUUCAUAAUAAAUGUGCUUGUGUCCUCAUUUGAGUGAGCGUGCAACUGCAUGCACGUCUGAGAGAGAGAGAGAGGUGAAAAUCUUGAAAUCAGCAAAGUUGACUUUCAAAGCAAAUUAUUAAUCAUAAAUGUGCUUGUCCCCUCAUUCGAGUGAGUGUUAAAGUGUCUCUCACUCACGCGUGCACGAGGGGGGGAGAG